rnacentral:rRNA from 1 species
ACUGGCAGGCUAGAGUCUUGUAGAGGGGGGUAGAAUUCCAGGUGUAGCGGUGAAAUGCGUAGAGAUCUGGAGGAAUACCGGUGGCGAAGGCGGCCCCCUGGACAAAGACUGACGCUCAGGUGCGAAAGCGUGGGGAGCAAACAGGAUUAGAUACCCUGGUAGUCCACGCCGUAAACGAUGUCGAUUUGGAGGUUGUGCCCUUGAGGCGUGGCUUCCGGAGCUAACGCGUUAAAUCGACCGCCUGGGGAGUACGGCCGCAAGGUUAAAACUCAAAUGAAUUGACGGGGGCCCGCACAAGCGGUGGAGCAUGUGGUUUAAUUCGAUGCAACGCGAAGA